GGGAUCAGCUCAAAUUUCGAAUCUGGCGGUCUUCCUCCGUCCGAGUUGUAAUCUAGAGAAGCAUCUUCCAGCGUUGCCUCCGUGUACAAGUCUCCUGGAAGGGAGCAUCAUAGAGGGUGAGAAUCCCGUCUUUGACACGGAUCCCUGUCAGCGCCCUGUGAUGUGCUCUCGACGAGUCGAGUUGUUUGGGAAUGCAGCUCAAAAUGGGUGGUAAACUCCAUCUAAAGCUAAAUACCGGCGAGAGACCGAUAGCGAACAAGUACCGUGAGGGAAAGACGAAAAGAACUUUGAAAAGAGAGUUAAACAGUACGUGAAAUUGCUGAAAGGGAAACGCUUGAUGUCAGUCGCAUCCCCCGGGGAUCAACCUUGCGCAGCUCGGUGUAUUUCCUGGUCGUGAUGGGUCAGCAUCAGUUUCGAUCGUCGUACAAAGGCACGCAGGAACGUGGCACUCUUCGGAGUGUGUUUAUAGCCUCGAGUCACAUCCGCCGGUCGGGACUGAGGAUCUCAGCGCUGACUUUAUCCUCAGCGCUUAGGAUGCUGGCAUAAUGGCCUUAAGCGACCCGUCUUGAAACACGGACCAAGGAGUCUAACAUGCCUGCGAGUGUUUGGGUCUUUCAAACUCGAGCGCGCAAUGAAAGUGAAAGUCGAGAUCUCUGUCGUCGAGAGCAUCGACGCCCGGACUUGAACUCUUUUCCAGACGAUCGAUCCGCGGUAGAGCAUGCAUGUUGGGACCCGAAAGAUGGUGAACUAUGCCUGAAUAGGGUGAAGCCAGAGGAAACUCUGGUGGAAGCUCGUAGCGAUUCUGACGUGCAAAUCGAUCGUCGAAUUUGGGUAUAGGGGCGAAAGACUA
rnacentral:rRNA from 1 species